rnacentral:rRNA from 1 species
UACGGAGGGUGCAAGCAUUGAUCGGAAUUACUGGGCGUAAAGGGCGCGUAGGCGGUAAGAUAAGUCGGAUGUGAAAUUCCGGGGCUCAACCCCGGAGCUGCAUUUGAAACUAUCAUACUAGAGUUCAGUUAGGGUAAACGGAAUUCCACGUGUAGCGGUGAAAUGCGUAGAUAUGUGGAAGAACACCGGUGGUGAAAACGGUUUACUGGGCUGAGACUGACGCUGAGGCGCGAAAGCAUGGGGAGCAAACAGG